UAAAGGUCUCGAGUACUGUUUGUGGACCAUAUUCUGAUAUGUUCGAGAGUAAAAAAAAGUAUUACUUGUGACCUUAUUCUGAUAAGUUCGACAAUGUAUAAGGUGUAAGUACGGAUGUUUUAUUCCUUAACCCACAAACUUUACAAUAUUGUAAUAAUUAUAAAGAAAAUUUCGCAGUCACGUUGGAAAUUUAGAUAACAUGCAAAACUUAAUUAUCUUCCAAUGUUUC